AGGUAACCGCAAGGAGCCAGCCGCCGAAGGUGGGGUAGAUGAUUGGGGUGAAGUCGUAACAAGGUAGCCGUAUCGGAAGGUGCGGCUGGAUCACCUCCUUU
rnacentral:rRNA from 1 species